rnacentral:misc_RNA from 1 species
UCACGAUUAGCGACACGAUUGGAAUCGUGGUCUGAAACGUGGAGUAAUCGUAGUGAUGCUAUCAGAUCUUAUCAGAUCUUGAGGUCAGUCGUGUCAAUCGUGUUGAUCGUAGAAAAGUUUUGGACGGUUAAAAAAAUUUCUACGAUAAACACGAUGAAUUGUCAAUCGUAAUCAUCGCAUCACAUCGUAUUGGAUCGUAAGAAAGCGGUACAGAACGCAUGUAAUCGUGGUUCCAAAUCGUGGUGAUCGUGAUCAACCGUGAACAAGAGAAACACCACGCUCUGUUGCGAUGCGCUGCGAUCUCCCACGAUCUGUGACGCUCUGUAGGGUACCAUAGAUUACGAUCUGACACGAAUGACUGACGAGCAGAUACGAGUAGAUACGAGUAGAUACGAGUAGUCACGGUUUGCACGGACGCUCACGAUCUGUUACGAGUUCUCGCGCUCAUAUAUAUAGUGGACAUGAUCGAAUGCGACUCUACACUUGAAGAGAGCCCAUAACUGUCAACCUUUUAAUUUCAGAGAUGCAACCGACGGGUACCAGAGAAAAGAAGAGAAAGGGCAAGGCUGCCCCACCCCCUGAGCCUGAACCAGUCCAACCACAGCCUGAACCAGAGGAGACCAUCCCCACCCAGAAAGCCAAGAGAAAAAAAACAGUGACUGUCUUUACUGAAGAUGAAAAGGAUGAAAUCAUUGAGUUCCUGAUGAGAAAUGAGGUCCUCUACAGCAAACGCCUUGCGGGCUUCAAGGAUGUCACACAGAAGGAGGAUCUGUGGGCUGUACAGGCUACCAAGAUGAACACCACUGUGUCGCAACUUAAAAUAUGGUACACAAGCAUGCGUACCAUGUUGGGCCGGCUGAAGAAACACGCCAAGAAGAGUGGGACAGGAGGAGAUGUCAUUACUGACAUGAGCAGCACAGAGAAGUGGGUGUGGGACAAGUUCUCUUUUUUUGAGGUCUCACAUUGAAACGGUGGAUGCCAGAAAUGUGGCCUCGUUUGCAGCAGCAGCACCACCAGCAAUUUCCAGUGGCACUGAAGUCACCCACUCCACCAGCCAAACCUCAGUAGUUGCCUCUACCUCCAGCAAGGCUCCAACACGACCACUCCCACCACCCUCAACACCACCCUCCCAUACAUCCUCCCAGACAGGGUCAGUCGGCUCCAGACGGGGCAGUGAGGAUAGGGUGAACUCUGGAGAACUGAAAGACCUGCUGGUGGAAUUCAUGUCCAGAAGUACGGCUGCGUCUGGCAGCUCCUAUUUUGGGAAGUAUGUGGAGGAAACCCUGUCGAAGGUGCCUGGGGAGAUCAGGAGGGAUGCUGAGGCUAACAUUAUCCAGAAUCUCAUCUGAAUGUUGGAUGACAUAUAUCAAGAUGGCACUGAACAAGACAUAACUGAGGAAAAGGGAUGUGAGAGAAUCCAAUCUAACAUUUAAAAAUAAAUAUACAUUUAUAUUAUUUAUAAAAUAUUUCUUUGCAUUUAUACUGUUCAGAUAUAUUAGUGGGUCACUUUGGGAAGAAUGAAACACCACUUUGUUAAGACUAUUGUCCUUCAAUUUUUAUGUCUUGCUGACAGUUUACAGAUAGGGUGUGGAAGUGCUGUCAUACUGUACCGUUGACAUAAGAACAAUAACUUUUUAAAACAAUUAUUUGAAUUAAAUGGGUCAUGGGAAUUCCCAUGGUAUUCAUGGAUUUUGAACCUGUUGUUUCACUCUUUUUUUUUCUUUUCUGUUUCUUUUUCUUGACAAGACAUUUGUUACCAGUUGGUAGCUUGACCAAAAUUGGUGUCCAUUUCCAUGGGUGGAAGUAGGGUCAGUCGCAUUAAUACAGAAAUUACCUGAGAAUAUUGAAAUUUGGCCUCUAGGGACAGAUUGCUGCCUAAUUUCAUUUGUUUAAUGAUGUUACCAGAGCAUUGAUUAGUUCAUCACUGGCUACUGGA